rnacentral:lncRNA from 1 species
GAUAUAGGCUUCCGGCACGCUCUUCGCCUCCAAGCACCUCCAUAGCACCUCCCUCGGGACCUUGUCAUAUGCCUUCUCCAAGUCGAUAAGAACCAUGUGAAGGUCCUUCUUCUUAUCCCUGAAUUGUUCCGCCAGUCGCCUGACUAGGUGAAUAGCCUCUGUAGUGGAGCGGCCCGGCAUGAAACCGAACUGGUUCCCGGAUAUAGAUG